rnacentral:rRNA from 1 species
AUCCCAAACCCCUGUGAACAUACCUUAAUGUUGCCUCGGCGGAUCAGCCCGCGCCCCGUAAAACGGGACGGCCCGCCAGAGGACCCAAACUCUAAUGUUUCUUAUUGUAACUUCUGAGUAAAACAAACAAAUAAAUCAAAACUUUCAACAACGGAUCUCUUGGUUCUGGCAUCGAUGAAGAACGCAGCAAAAUGCGAUAAGUAAUGUGAAUUGCAGAAUUCAGUGAAUCAUCGAAUCUUUGAACGCACAUUGCGCCCGCUGGUAUUCCGGCGGGCAUGCCUGUUCGAGCGUCAUUUCAACCCUCAAACCCCCGGGUUUGGUGUUGGGGAUCGGAUUCUCUCUGAGGAUCCGCCCCCUAAAUCUAUUGGCGGUCUCGCUGCAGCCUCCAUUGCGUAGAGCUAACACCUCGCAACUGGAACGCGGCGCGGCCAUGCCGUAAAACCCCAACUUCUGAAUGUUGACCUCGGA